UGGGGGGGUGGCUUUACAAUGCAAGUCGAACGAUGAGCCACUUCGGUGGGGAUACUGGCGAACGGGUGAGUAACGCGUGGGCAAUCUGCCCUGCACUCUGGGACAAGCCCUGGAAACGGGGUCUAAUACCGGAUACUGACCAUCGCAGGCAUCUGUGAUGGUCGAAAGCUCCGGCGGUGCACGAUGAGCCCGCGGCCUAUCAGCUUGUUGGUGAGGUAGUGGCUCACCAAGGCGACGACGGGUAGCCGGCCUGAGAGGGCGACCGGCCACACUGGGACUGAGACACGGCCCAGACUCCUACGGGAGGCAGCAGUGGGGAAUAUUGCACAAUGGGCGAAAGCCUGAUGCAGCGACGCCGCGUGAGGGAUGACGGCCUUCGGGUUGUAAACCUCUUUCAGCAGGGAAGAAGCGAAAGUGACGGUACCUGCAAAAAAAGCGCCGGCUAACUACGUGCCAGCAGCCGCGGUAAUACGUAGGGCGCGAGCGUUGUCCGGAAUUAUUGGGCGUAAAGAGCUCGUAGGCGGCUUGUCACGUCGGUUGUGAAAGCCCGGGGCUUAACCCCGGGUCUGCAGUCGAUACGGGCAGGCUACAGU
rnacentral:rRNA from 1 species